GUUGACCUCGGAUCGGUAGGGAUA
rnacentral:rRNA from 2 species